UACAGAGGUCUCAAGCGUUGUUCGGAUUCAUUGGGCGUAAAGGGUGCGUAGGCGGCGCGGUAAGUCGGGGUGUGAAAUCUUGGAGCUUAACUCCGAAACUGCAUUCGAUACUGCCGUGCUUGAGGACUGGAGAGGAGACUGGAAUUUACGGUGUAGCGGUGAAAUGCAUAGAUAUCGUAAGGAAGACCAGUGGCGAAGGCGGGUCUCUGGACAGUUCCUGACGCUGAGGCACGAAGGCCAGGGGAGCAAACGGG
rnacentral:rRNA from 1 species